UAAGGAAUAUUGGACAAUGGAGGCAACUCUGAUCCAGCCAUGCCGCGUGAAGGAAUAAGGCCCUAUGGGUUGUAAACUUCUUUUAGACGGGACAAAACCCCUUUACGUGUAAAGGGUUGAUGGUACUGUCAGAAUAAGCAUCGGCUAACUUCGUGCCAGCAGCCGCGGUAAUACGAAGGAUGCAAGCGUUAUCCGGAAUUAUUGGGUUUAAAGGGUGCGUAGGCGGACUAAUAAGUCAGUGGUGAAAGCCUGCAGCUUAACUGCAGAAUUGCCAUUGAUACUGUUAGUCUUGAGUACAGUUGAGGUAGGCGGAAUGUGUCAUGUAGCGGUGAAAUGCUCAGAUAUGACACAGAACACCGAUUGCGAAGGCAGCUUGCUAAGCUGUAACUGACGCUGAGGCACGAAAGCGUGGGGAGCAAACA
rnacentral:rRNA from 1 species